GGGUUGUGAGGUUAAGCGACUAAGCGUACACGGUGGAUGCCCUGGCAGUCAGAGGCGAUGAAGGACGUGCUAAUCUGCGAUAAGCGUCGGUAAGGUGAUAUGAACCGUUAUAACCGGCGAUUUCCGAAUGGGGAAACCCAGUGUGUUUCGACACACUAUCAUUAACUGAAUCCAUAGGUUAAUGAGGCGAACCGGGGGAACUGAAACAUCUAAGUACCCCGAGGAAAAGAAAUCAACCGAGAUUCCCCCAGUAGCGGCGAGCGAACGGGGAGCAGCCCAGAGCCUGAAUCAGUGUGUGUGUUAGUGGAAGCGUCUGGAAAGGCGCGCGAUACAGGGUGACAGCCCCGUACACAAAAAUGCACAUGCUGUGAGCUCGAUGAGUAGGGCGGGACACGUGGUAUCCUGUCUGAAUAUGGGGGGACCAUCCUCCAAGGCUAAAUACUCCUGACUGACCGAUAGUGAACCAGUACCGUGAGGGAAAGGCGAAAAGAACCCCGGCGAGGGGAGUGAAAAAGAACCUGAAACCGUGUACGUACAAGCAGUGGGAGCACGCUUAGGCGUGUGACUGCGUACCUUUUGUAUAAUGGGUCAGCGACUUAUAUUCUGUAGCAAGGUUAACCGAAUAGGGGAGCCGAAGGGAAACCGAGUCUUAACUGGGCGUUAAGUUGCAGGGUAUAGACCCGAAACCCGGUGAUCUAGCCAUGGGCAGGUUGAAGGUUGGGUAACACUAACUGGAGGACCGAACCGACUAAUGUUGAAAAAUUAGCGGAUGACUUGUGGCUGGGGGUGAAAGGCCAAUCAAACCGGGAGAUAGCUGGUUCUCCCCGAAAGCUAUUUAGGUAGCGCCUCGUGAAUUCAUCUCCGGGGGUAGAGCACUGUUUCGGCAAGGGGGUCAUCCCGACUUACCAACCCGAUGCAAACUGCGAAUACCGGAGAAUGUUAUCACGGGAGACACACGGCGGGUGCUAACGUCCGUCGUGAAGAGGGAAACAACCCAGACCGCCAGCUAAGGUCCCAAAGUCAUGGUUAAGUGGGAAACGAUGUGGGAAGGCCCAGACAGCCAGGAUGUUGGCUUAGAAGCAGCCAUCAUUUAAAGAAAGCGUAAUAGCUCACUGGUCGAGUCGGCCUGCGCGGAAGAUGUAACGGGGCUAAACCAUGCACCGAAGCUGCGGCAGCGACGCUGAUGCGUUGUUGGGUAGGGGAGCGUUCUGUAAGCCUGUGAAGGUGUACUGUGAGGUAUGCUGGAGGUAUCAGAAGUGCGAAUGCUGACAUAAGUAACGAUAAAGCGGGUGAAAAGCCCGCUCGCCGGAAGACCAAGGGUUCCUGUCCAACGUUAAUCGGGGCAGGGUGAGUCGACCCCUAAGGCGAGGCCGAAAGGCGUAGUCGAUGGGAAACAGGUUAAUAUUCCUGUACUUGGUGUUACUGCGAAGGGGGGACGGAGAAGGCUAUGUUGGCCGGGCGACGGUUGUCCCGGUUUAAGCGUGUAGGCUGGUUUUCCAGGCAAAUCCGGAAAAUCAAGGCUGAGGCGUGAUGACGAGGCACUACGGUGCUGAAGCAACAAAUGCCCUGCUUCCAGGAAAAGCCUCUAAGCAUCAGGUAACAUCAAAUCGUACCCCAAACCGACACAGGUGGUCAGGUAGAGAAUACCAAGGCGCUUGAGAGAACUCGGGUGAAGGAACUAGGCAAAAUGGUGCCGUAACUUCGGGAGAAGGCACGCUGAUAUGUAGGUGAAGUCCCUCGCGGAUGGAGCUGAAAUCAGUCGAAGAUACCAGCUGGCUGCAACUGUUUAUUAAAAACACAGCACUGUGCAAACACGAAAGUGGACGUAUACGGUGUGACGCCUGCCCGGUGCCGGAAGGUUAAUUGAUGGGGUCAGCGCAAGCGAAGCUCUUGAUCGAAGCCCCGGUAAACGGCGGCCGUAACUAUAACGGUCCUAAGGUAGCGAAAUUCCUUGUCGGGUAAGUUCCGACCUGCACGAAUGGCGUAAUGAUGGCCAGGCUGUCUCCACCCGAGACUCAGUGAAAUUGAACUCGCUGUGAAGAUGCAGUGUACCCGCGGCAAGACGGAAAGACCCCGUGAACCUUUACUAUAGCUUGACACUGAACAUUGAGCCUUGAUGUGUAGGAUAGGUGGGAGGCUUUGAAGUGUGGACGCCAGUCUGCAUGGAGCCGACCUUGAAAUACCACCCUUUAAUGUUUGAUGUUCUAACGUUGACCCGUGAUCCGGGUUGCGGACAGUGUCUGGUGGGUAGUUUGACUGGGGCGGUCUCCUCCUAAAGAGUAACGGAGGAGCACGAAGGUUGGCUAAUCCUGGUCGGACAUCAGGAGGUUAGUGCAAUGGCAUAAGCCAGCUUGACUGCGAGCGUGACGGCGCGAGCAGGUGCGAAAGCAGGUCAUAGUGAUCCGGUGGUUCUGAAUGGAAGGGCCAUCGCUCAACGGAUAAAAGGUACUCCGGGGAUAACAGGCUGAUACCGCCCAAGAGUUCAUAUCGACGGCGGUGUUUGGCACCUCGAUGUCGGCUCAUCACAUCCUGGGGCUGAAGUAGGUCCCAAGGGUAUGGCUGUUCGCCAUUUAAAGUGGUACGCGAGCUGGGUUUAGAACGUCGUGAGACAGUUCGGUCCCUAUCUGCCGUGGGCGCUGGAGAACUGAGGGGGGCUGCUCCUAGUACGAGAGGACCGGAGUGGACGCAUCACUGGUGUUCGGGUUGUCAUGCCAAUGGCACUGCCCGGUAGCUAAAUGCGGAAGAGAUAAGUGCUGAAAGCAUCUAAGCACGAAACUUGCCCCGAGAUGAGUUCUCCCUGACUCCUUGAGAGUCCUGAAGGAACGUUGAAGACGACGACGUUGAUAGGCCGGGUGUGUAAGCGCAGCGAUGCGUUGAGCUAACCGGUACUAAUGAACCGUGAGGCUUAACCUUACAACGCCGAAGCUGUU
rnacentral:rRNA from 1 species